UCUUGUGUUGGGAGUAACCACUGUGCAGGGGACCGGGAAACUGCGCGUUGCAGUCUUCCUCCGCCGCAGCCGCCGCGGGCCCCGGGGCAUGCCGAGCUGCGGGCCCGAGCCGUGAGCGCUUUCGCGGGCCCCGUGCAUGCAGACCCUCGCUGCUGCCUGGGUAAUCCGUGACGCACCCCCGCCCGCUGUGGUUCUGCCCGGCCUGCGGCCGCGCCUCUCAGGCUCGUCAGCCGCACCUGGGCCGACGCGGCCGGCCCCGCUCCGUCCGCCGCAGGGCCCGCGGGGGUGCCGGCCGUCGCUCGCCAUCGUGUGACUUCAGCAGAGCGCCAGGGAGCUCAGCCGACCCCGCACGCUAGGGGGAAGGCGCGCACGGACUAGCGGGCCGACGUGGGGCCUGGAGUCGUGUCGUCCGCACUCGGGGUCCUCUCAGCCGCGCGCGCGGCCCGUCGCGAGCCUCGGUUUCCCUGGCCCCCUGUGCCCCCGCCCUGCCCCACCUGACAGGAGGUGAAGAGGAGGGAGGCGGAGAGGAGUACAUUCCGAGACGUGGAAUCGUGGGUAGAGGCGGAAAAGUCGCCUUAGAAAAUUUGGGCCAAAAGCUGCCCUGUUUCCUGGCUGUGUGCUGGGCAAUGCUCUAGAUGCUAGAGGAAAGAUGAAAGACUUGGCUCUUCCCUUACAGCCCACUGUCCAGUGGGAGACUAUAUAAAUAAAUAGUUAUUACGACAUAAUGUUCUGCAAUAGAGAUGCGCACAAAGCCUCCAGCAGGUGGUGGCUCCCUUUAGGCCGGGGAGGAAACCAUGGCUCAGAGGGACAAGCUGGGCAGUUGGGAAGCUGAGGCACAGAGAGGUUAAGUGGUUUGCCCAACUUUACACAGCUGUUCAGUGAGUUACUGGGGCCCAACAGCUGCUGUGCAGUAGCUUCUGAACCAUUUUGGGUACAGUUACGCUAGACUGUAUGAUAACCGGCUCCUCUCCGACUCCCAACUAUUGGAUAAAGAAAAAUGGACCGAGGUGAAACAAAGGAGAACCCUUCAAAUAAAGUUUGUUAAGCGCCAAAACAGUUCUUUAAGGGAGUAUCUUGGGAACUUUCUAGGAAGGACACAAAUUGAUUGAACUUGGGAAUCAGAUGAAAGGAAGUACCCCUUUGGGGACCCUGCCAGUGAUAGAAUCUCUGCUUGUAAUGAAAGAAAAAGAAACCCACUGAGGAAGCUAGCAGUGACUCUCAUGGGAAGAAAGGUAUGAAAAGACAUCUCUAGCAACCAACAUUUUAGGACAUUGAGAAGUUUCAUGAGCCUCUGGAAGAGGUUGGUCAUUCAGAAGUCACUUUUGUAAUAAUUGACCAGAUAGGUGAACCUGGCAUUCUUGAAAAUAAGCCUUAUCAGACAGUGAUAGAUGACUGCUGCGUAUUCCAUCUUCGCUGACUGUUAGUCUCUUUUCUCAGCUCUUCAUUUGAUCUUCAUCAUGACCUUGUGAGGCAGUCAGAGUAGCAAUACUCUCCCCAUUUUACAAUGACCACCUGGGGAGUGGCAGAGCGCCACUCUGGUGGCUUCACUUUGCAUAUUCCGCUGUUUGUGCUGCCUCUAAUUCAUGCACACACACACACACAGCCAUGGGCUUUUCACCUGUUGGAACACCAUCCUGAGAAUCCAGGCUUGGAGACCUUGGAAUCUCUGGGCUCAGCAGAUUUGCAGGACCACAGAUGUCAUCAUAGUCCUCAGCAUGCUGUCAUCGAUCCCGUCACUGUGUCCCUAACCCAAGUUCUUUUAUCUUCCUCCAGUUCCUGAACUGCUCUCUUUCAUCUGUCUCUCUAGACCCUGUCCUUUCAGGUCCUGUGUGUCACAUCAGGUCUCUUCCAACAUCUCCAGGCCAAAAUGACUGUCAGUUCUCUUGUGUUUGUAGCAUGUAUUGUCUGUAUUGCACGAUUUAUCACCAUCCAAGAAGGAGCCAUCUUGUUAUAUAGCAAAGAUGGACUUUUUCACUUUACCUUUAUUCUUAGAAGUGUUAUUUUGUGAAAGUAGAAAAGCAGAGUACAUGAGAUUCAUUUCUCCCAGUUUCACUGUAAUCACUAAUUGUCUCCUUAUCCUGCUUCUCCCAAGCCAGGGACUAGGAGGGAGAUCACUUGCUUUUCUCUUGAAGAUAUUGAUGACAGGCAGCAUUCCUGUACUACAAAAUUAAUUGCUUUAAACGAUUCCACCUUGACUGCUAUUUGCUACAUCUACCAGAACUUCCACAGAAAACACUAGUUUUCUUUCUUUUCCCCCAAGUUAACAUUUCUGAUAUUCUCUUCUCUCCCUGGGAGUGGUGGUGGUCCUUAUAGGAUGUUGACAUUGUGUUUUUGUGUUUUGUAUUCACCUCUGAAAAAUUACAUCGGAAUAUCUACUAGGCACUGGCUGUGUACAAGAUCCCAUGCUGUAGGGCUAUAAACUCAGCGGCCUGCAAAGAAACAAGAGCCCUUCCAAGUGGGACCUGCCUGGGAGGAAAGAUGCCAAGGUGCCAGGCUGAGGCCGCCCCUGUGCACUUCAUUUCACAGAUCUGGGGAUAGGGGCAGAGCUGGCCUCUCGGCCUCUCCAGCAGGCUCAUGAUGCCUGCGGUGGCCUGCGUGGGGCUGCAGCCUAUCCUCAGCCCCUGGGCUCUCCUUUUCUGCAGGCCAGUCACUGUCUGAGCCUCCUGCCUUGGUAACAGAGCUGGAGUAGAUCACCUUGUCCCUGUGAGGUUCCCAGAGACUGUCCGCAUGAAUAGAGGAUUACAAACUGUCCAGGGGCUGCUAUCCAAGUCAAAUUGCACCCUGUGAGCUCUAUGGAGCACUCCCAUCUGUUUGCUUUCCCCUUUUUAAGAGACCUUUUGUUUUUAAAUAUUUUAUGGCUAUGGGCAUGGUGGGAACGAAGGGAGGACUCUCACUCGGCAGACUCCCAAAGAAUAUCCUGAGAGACACAGAGUCAUGGAUUCAUAGAUGGUGAAAAUGGAAUGAAUAAAUGAAAGAAGCUGCUGUGAGCAAUGAAAGCAACCCAAACCGGAGGGGCUUCCCAGGACUGUUUUUCAAAAUUUUAACUGCAACCCAUAGUAAACAAUGUUUGUAUCGUG